AUUUGUGCGGUGAUGAAGCAUGUAUUGUGGACUAGAGUUUCUGAUGUUGGGCUCUUCUUCCCAUUUCUUUUGACGACAAACCCUUGCUGUCUGAGCACCAAU
rnacentral:snoRNA from 1 species